GGAUAAUAGUUAAUUAUAACAUUUGAUUUGCAUUCAAAAAGUAUUGCUCAGCAAUUUAUCUUA
rnacentral:tRNA from 1 species